rnacentral:rRNA from 1 species
UACGUAGGGUGCAAGCGUUGUCCGGAAUUAUUGGGCGUAAAGAGCUCGUAGGCGGUCUGUCGCGUCGGCUGUGAAAACCCGGGGCUCAACCUCGGGCCUGCAGUGGGUACGGGCAGACUGGAGUGCGGUAGGGGAGAACGGAAUCCCUGGUGUAGCGGUGGAAUGCGCAGAUAUCAGGAGGAACACCGAUGGCGAAGGCAGUUCUCUGGGCCGUAACUGACGCUGAGGAGCGAAAGCGUGGGGAGCGAACAGG